GACGAACGCUGGCGGCGUGCUUAACACAUGCAAGUCGAACGGAAAGGCCCUGCUUUUGUGGGGUGCUCGAGUGGCGAACGGGUGAGUAACACGUGAGUAACCUGCCCUUGACUUUGGGAUAACUUCAGGAAACUGGGGCUAAUACCGGAUAGGAGCUCCUGCUGCAUGGUGGGGGUUGGAAAGUUUCGGCGGUUGGGGAUGGACUCGCGGCUUAUCAGCUUGUUGGUGGGGUAGUGGCUUACCAAGGCUUUGACGGGUAGCCGGCCUGAGAGGGUGACCGGCCACAUUGGGACUGAGAUACGGCGCAGUCUCCUACGUGAGGCAGCAGUGGGGAAUAUUGCACAGUGGGCGGAAGCCUGAGGCAGAAACGCCGCGUGCGGGAUGCCGGCCUUCGGGGUGUAAACCGCUUUCGCCUGUGACGAAGCGGGAGUGACGGUAAUGGGUAAAGAAGCACCGGCUAACUACGUG
rnacentral:rRNA from 1 species